UUUGGGAUACUCAUGUGGGAAGUGAUGAGUUAUGGAGAACGGCCUUACUGGGACAUGAGUGAGCAGGAGGUACUAAAUGCAAUAGAGCAGGAGUUCCGGCUGCCCCCGCCUCCAGGCUGUCCUCCUGGAUUACAUCUACUUAUGUUGGACACUUGGCAGAAGGACCGUGCCCGGCGGCCUCAUUUUGACCAGCUGGUGGCUGCAUUUGACAAGAUGAUCCGCAAGCCAGAUACCCUGCAGGCUUGCGGGGACCCAGGGGAAAGGCCUGGCUUUCAGCCAUUGGACUGGAGUGCUACCAGGACAACUUCUCCAAGUUUGGCCUCUGUACCUUCAGUGAUGUGGCUCAGCUCAGCCUAGAAGACCUGCCUGCCCUGGGCAUCACCCUGGCUGGCCACCAGAAGAAGCUGCUGCACCACAUCCAGCUCCUUCAGCAACACCUGAGGCAGCAGGGCUCAGUGGAGGUCUAAGAAUGACGAUACCCGUGACUCAGCCCUGGACACUGGUCCGAGAAGGGACAUGUGGGACGUGAGCCGGGCUCCAACAGCCUCUGUGAGAGAUGCCCCACACCAAACCCAACCCUCCCGAUGGCUGCACUCCCUGGUCCUCCGCCUCUCCACCAGCCCCCUCCUCAUUAAAGGGAAAGAAGGGAAUUUGC
rnacentral:sRNA from 1 species